UACGUAGGGGGCUAGCGUUGUCCGGAAUCAUUGGGCGUAAAGAGCGCGUAGGCGGCCAGAUAAGUCCGGUGUGAAAGUCACAGGCUCAACCUGUGAAUGCCGCUGGAAACUGUCUGGCUAGAGUCCGGAAGGGGCGAGUGGAAUUCCUGGUGUAGCGGUGAAAUGCGCAGAUAUCGGGAGGAACACCGGUGGCGAAGGCGGCAUCCUGGACCGACACUGACGCUGAGGAGCGAAAGCCAGGGGAGCCAAAGCGGGGAUUAAGAAACC
rnacentral:rRNA from 1 species